rnacentral:rRNA from 1 species
UACGGGGGGAGCAAGCGUUGUCCGGAUUUAUUGGGUUUAAAGGGUGCGUAGGCGGCCCGUUAAGUCAGUGGUGAAAGCCUCCAGCUCAACUGGAGAACUGCCAUUGAUACUGACGGGCUUGAGUACAGACGAGGUUGGCGGAAUUGAUUGUGUAGCGGUGAAAUGCAUAGAUACAAUCAAGAACUCCGAUUGCGUAGGCAGCUAACUAGGCUGUAACUGACGCUGAGGCACGAAAGCGUGGGGAGCGAACAGG